rnacentral:misc_RNA from 1 species
CAAAAAAAAAAAAAAAAAUCAUAUGAUCAGCAUUACUCUAUGACCCCUUAAUAAAGUAAUUAAUUAUGAAGUGCGAUCCGAAGGUAAGAACUUAUAAUAAUCAGUAGCGAAUUCUAUGCUAAAGAAAUUGCUAUUGGUUGAAUCACCAACUUAACACAUAUUGCAGCAACCUAAGGAAAUCUUCUUAACAGAAUCACACUAGAAUGGAUCACUGAGUACUAUUCCAAGUUAAGCACUUUAGGAUAGCAAUGGAAGAGCAAAGAAAUUCCUUUGCCUUAAGUAUUUCAAACUUUUUGUUAAAUUCAUGCUAAAUGUAAUUGUACAUUGAUGUUGUACAGAUUAAGAGAGGGCGGCGGGGGGGAGGGGGUUGGGGGUUGGUGUGCGCGCCUGCGGGGGCGGGUUGGGGUGUGGGGUGGUGAAGAGAAGAAAAAAAGAAAAGAAAAUGAAAAAACAAAUAAUAAGACAUUGAGAUCUUCACAUGUAGGUGAUGUAGAAUCAAGCUAAGAGAAAAUGAAAUAGGAAUAGCCCCUGAUAUAUCACACCAUUACAAUAAAGAAAAUCCCCUAUUCCUGAUAUAACAAGAGAAUAAAAGAACCCAAAAUCCUAGAUUUUUUUCCCACUUCAAUAGGAUAAUGAAAAUAUAGAAAGAUGGGGGGACAAUUUGGUGAGGAGCCCAGUUACAACAAACAGUGCCUAACAGAUGAAGCAAUAAUCUUUACAAGUUUUGACUUCAGGGUCUUAAAAAGGAGCCUCCUUCUUGUAUGGUAUGAUUGGAGGGGGCACUUCAUGUUACUUGUUUUGAUUAGUUCCCCUUGAGAGUUGCUUAGUUUAGGAGGAUGCCUUAUACUCCUUUCUUCUUUAAGAAAAUUUCUUAUUUUCUUUUCUUAUCAAAUAAAUAGAUAAAUACAUAAAUUACCUUUAUCAGUCUAAACUAAUUGAGCUUAAAUAAAUUUCAAAUUGUGGCAAGUAAAUAAGUUCAACAGAAACAAUUUACAAAUCUGAUAACCAUUCAACAAAUAAUAUAUAUGUCUGCAUGUGAUCAUAA